rnacentral:rRNA from 1 species
UAAACCGUGGCUCAGUUCAGGUCGUAGGCUGCAACUCGCCUACGUGAAGGCGGAAUCGCUAGUAAUCGCAGGUCAGCAUACUGCGGUGAAUACGUUCCCGGGCCUUGUACACACCGCCCGUCACACCAUGGAAGUUGGCCACGCCCGAAGCCGUUACUCCAACCCUUGUGGAGGAGGACGUCGAAGGUGGGGCUGAUGACUGGGGUGAAGUCGUAACAAGGUAUCCGUACCGGAAGGUGCGGAUGGAUCACCUCCUAACA